rnacentral:lncRNA from 1 species
AGGUCACAGAAGGAGGAAACUCAAACUUCUUCCUCUUACAUUCCACCCAUCCAGGUGCGGUUCCUGGAGCAGCAGAACAAGGUCCUGGACACCAAGUGGGCCCUGCUGCAGGAGCAGGGCACCAAGACCGUGAGGCAGGGUCUGGAGACUUUGUUUGAGCAAUACAUCAACAACCUCCGCAGACAGCUGGACAACAUCCGUGGACAGAGGGGUCGCCUGGACUCAGAACUGAGGAACAUGCAGGGCACAGUGGAGGACUACAAGAGCAAGUAUGAGGAUGAAAUCAACAGGCACUCAUACGCAGAGAAUGAAUUCGUGACCCUGAAGAAGGAUGUAGACGCCGCCUUUAUGAGAAAGGUUGAACUACAAGGAAAUGCAGACAGUCUGGCAGNACUNNNACCCUUUCUUGUUGAAUUCCCUCAAUUAAGAUAUCACAUGACUUAACAUUGGCGCCCAGCCUC